rnacentral:rRNA from 1 species
AAUUUUGGACAAUGGGGGCAACCCUGAUCCAGCCAUCCCGCGUGUGCGAUGAAGGCCUUCGGGUUGUAAAGCACUUUUGGCAGGGAAGAAAAGGCUCUGGUUAAUACCUGGAGCUGCUGACGGUACCUGCAGAAUAAGCACCGGCUAACUACGUGCCAGCAGCCGCGGUAAUACGUAGGGUGCAAGCGUUAAUCGGAAUUACUGGGCGGAAAGGGUGCGCAGGCGGUUCGGAAAGAAGGAUGUGAAAUCCCAGGGCUCAACCUUGGAAUGGAAUUCUUAACUACCGGGCUAGAGUGUGUCAGAGGGGGGUAGAAUUCCGCGUGUAGCAGUGAAAUGCGUAGAGAUGCGGAGGAAUACCGAUGGCGAAGGCAGCCCCCUGGGAUAAUACUGACGCUCAUGCACGAAAGCGUGGGGAGCAAAC